rnacentral:rRNA from 1 species
GAGUUUGAUCGUGGCUCAGAGCGAACGCUGGCGGCAGGCUUAACACAUGCAAGUCGAACGGCGUGUAGCAAUACACGAGUGGCGCAACGGGUGAGUAACACGUGGAUAUCUGCCUUUUGGUUCGGGAUAACCCUGGGAAACUAGGGCUAAUACCGGAUGGGUUCCUACGGGAUAAAGAUUUUAUCGCCAAAAAGAUGAGUCCGCGUUCCGAUUAGCUAGUUGGUGGGUAAUGGCCCACCAAGGCGACGAUCGGUAGCUGGUCUGAGAGGACGAUCAGCCACACUGGGACUGAGACACGGCCCAGACUCCUACGGGAGGCAGCAGU